UGCUCGGCGCCGCUCUCUGGCUGCCGUCCCCUCGCUGCUCUUUCCUCGUGUCGGGUCGCCUCGUGCUCCUCGAGGAGCAGCGGCUGCUGCGGAGCCCCGGAAAGAAGCGCUGAAGGAGACGGAGCCGAGCAGCGAGAGAAGGGGGCCGAAAUCCUCUCCAGAUCCCCAGGAUUAAGUUCUCAGCAGGACCUCCGUGUGCUGUGGUGCUACAGAGCGUGUUCAGAUGAGACUCAGUCAUGGUGCAUAGGUUGGAAAGCAGCCUGAGAUCAGUGCUGAGGUGUGGGAAGAGCUUUGGGAUGCGUGAGGGCUGACAGAUCUGCUGCCUGGACUCUUGGUUAGCUGUGAAAAGAGGCCGACCUCCAUCUUGCUUCAAGAAGGGCUAAGCUCUUGAGUGGAAUAAAGCCCUAAGCAUUGGGUGAAAUCGCUGGAUUUGUGGAUUUGUGCCCACAUAUUGCAGAGGUACCAACACCACCCAGUGCCUGUGCUGGCAGGUUUUCCUGAGGAUGGGAAGCAUGGUGUUUGGGAGAGGAUGGACUCUGUUGUCCUCCAGCCCUGAGUGUCACAGUGUCUGACAUCUGGUGCUGCUCAAUCACUUAAAUGUGAAAGAUCAAACACUUCAAAAAGGUCUCCCUGGGUUUGGAAAUGGAAAGCUCUUAUCUUCUCAGACAGUUGCAGAUUUUUGCACAAGACGCAGGAGUCCUGCAAGCUUGGACCUGGUUCCUUGCGAGGGUUUGGCUGGACGGGCUGUGCCCUGUGAGGUGUGGACAGAAGG